rnacentral:rRNA from 1 species
UAAGACAUGGGUGACCUGGCCCAAAGUGAGGGAUACCGGCGAGAAAUGGCCGACAAGCCCGCAUAGGUUCUGUCUGGUGGAGCGGGCAGAGCAAAGGCGCAAGCUGCUUUGGGAUGGGCCUGUGGCCGAUUAGCUAGUUGGGGGGUAAGAGCCUCCCAAGGCGACGAUCGGUAGCUGGUCUAAGAGGACGAUCAGCCACACUGGGAUUGAGAACGGCCCAG